GGAUCCUAGCGGGAGUAGCAGCGUAGUCGGGUGAGAAUCCCGACCGCCGGAGGGGCCAGGGUUCCACGGCAAUGGUCGUCAGCCGUGGGUUAGUCGGUCCUAACCCCGCCCGUAACUCGGCGCGGGGGAAAGGGAAACGGGUUUAUAUUCCCGUACCGCGGGGGUAGGUGCGGCAACGCAAGCCCGGAGGGUGACGCCUCGGGGUAGGCGGACCGGCCGAUGAGGCCGGCUAAGCGUAUAAGCCCGGGGAGUGCCGUAAUGGCGAGAACCGGGUGAAAGCGCGAAUGGCCCCCCGUUAGGGGGGUUCCGCCGAUCCCUGGGGCCCGUGAAAAGCCUCCGGGAAUUCCGAUCCCCCGCGACCGUACCGAGAACCGACACAGGUGCCCCUGGGUGAGAAGCCUAAGGCGUGUCGGGGGAAACCCGGCCGAGGGAACUCGGCAAACUGGCCCCGUAACUUCGGGAGAAGGGGUGCCUGCGGGUGCGUAACCCGCAGGUCGCAGUGACUAGGGGGGCCCGACUGUUUAAUAAAAACACAGGUCCCAGCUAGCCCGAAAGGGUUUGUACUGGGGCCGACGCCUGCCCAGUGCCGGUAUGUGAAGCCCGGGUACAACCGGGUGAAGCACCGGUAAACGGCGGGGGUAACUAUAACCCUCUUAAGGUAGCGAAAUUCCUUGUCGGUUAAAAUGCCGACCUGCAUGAAUGGCGUAACGAGGUCCCCGCUGUCCCCGGCCGGGGCCCGGCGAAACCUCUGCCUGGCGCGCAUGCCAGGGACCCCCGGUGGGAAGCGAAGACCCCAUGGAGCUUUACUGCAGCCUGCCGUUGCCACACGGCGGGGGGUGCGCAGCGUAGGCGGGAGGCGUCGAAGCCCGGCCUCCGGGUCGGGUGGAGCCGUCCAUGAGACACCGCCCACUCCCCGCUGUGUGGCUAACCCCCGAAAGGGGGGACAGCGGUAGGUGGGCAGUUUGGCUGGGGCGGCACGCCUCCGAAAAGGUAUCGGAGGCGCCCUAAGGUCGGCUCAGGCGGGUCAGGAAUCCGCCGUAGAGUGCAAGGGCAAAAGCCGGCCUGACUGGACCCGUAACAGAGGCGGGUCCAGCCCCGAAAGGGUGGCCUAGCGAACCCCUGUGCCUCCCCGGUGGGGGCCAGGGAUGACAGAAAAGCUACCCUGGGGAUAACAGAGUCGUCUCGGGCGAGAGCCCAUAUCGACCCCGAGGCUUGCUACCUCGCUGUCGGCUCUUCCCAUCCUGGCCCUGCAGCAGGGGCCAAGGGUGGGGGUGUUCACCCAUUAAAGGGGAACGUGAGCUGGGUUUAGACCGUCGUGAGACAGGUCGGAUGCUAUCUACCGGGGGUGUUGGCCGCCUGAGGGGAAGGUGCCCNUAGUACGAGAGGAACAGGGUGCCGCGGCCUCUGGUCUACCGGUUGUCCUCCCGGGCAUCGCCGGGCAGCUACGCCGCAGCCGAUAAGGCCUGAAAGCAUCUAAGGCCAACGGCCCCCGAAAAUAGGCGGCCGUUCCCUGGCGCUUGGGCCUGGGCGACCGGCCCAUUGCCAGGGACGAGGGCUCGGGUAGAAGACCCGGUUGAUAGGGCGGGGAUGUAAGCGGGAAGGGUCAACCGACCCGCUUAGUCCGCCGCCCCUAAUCGCCCGAGGUCCUGCCCCUCG
rnacentral:rRNA from 1 species